rnacentral:lncRNA from 1 species
CUGAGGUGUCCUUAGGCAGAACAGAAAGUGAGAAUCAGAGCAGUAUCUCAUUUCUGAAAACCUGGAUUGUAGCUUUCCCUGGGCUGACUGUCAAAGGAGGUGGUUUUAAAAAGCAAGCCAAACAGGUUUCCAUCCUUUAGGAAGACCCUGGAACGUGCCAGUUGAUUCUGACAAUUUCUCAUGAACAGAAACACCUAGGAAGGGAGAACUGGUGAGUCUUUUCAAGAGGAGGAAGUCCCUCAAAAGGGGCUGUGUUUCGCAAACGGCGCCCCAAAAGGGCUGAAAUACUUCGAUCUGGAAGAAAAAGACUCAGGCACUGAGGGAAGGGGAGGGUGCACAUCUGGAGUAAUUUCAAGGCUUUUUCCGUGUUAUCUGAUGUGGCAACAAGUAGAGAUUUGUUCGUUUUAUUAUUUUUUUAAUUUUUAAAGAUUUUCUUUUCCCCCCUUUUCCCCCUCCCGGCCACUCCGGUUUGUGUUUGCCACAAGACUCAUAAUUCCUUUAGAAAGUGGAGUCGAAUUCAUAAAAGUGACGGGGGGAGAGCGCGGAGAGGGAAGGCUGGGAGCCCCAGGGAGUCUUCACUACCUACACUGCCGCUCAGCUCCCGGCGCGAGUGGAGGUCGGGGUGGGGAGACGCGACUCCUGCCCGGGAUGGCUGACA